CUCCUGAGUGCUGGGAUUACAGGCCUGUGCACCAUGCCUGCAUCAAUGUCACUUUUAAAAGCAAGGUAUGAGACAGUUUCUCAAAUUUUUUUCAGCCAUAGUAUUCCAUAUUUCAAUAUUUUCACUGAAGAUUAAAUUGUAUUAUAUCUAGAAGCUAUUUAUCAUAUAGAAUCCAGAAUGAGUUCCAGAAUGUAUAGAUCAGCAGGUUAAGGUCAGUAAUUGACUACAGCUUGGACUCCAUAAUUUUCUGCCACAAUUUCAAAUAAUGAACUAGAAGGCAAACCCCCACAUAUGUAUAAGGAAGAAGUUCUUCAAAGCAUAAAUUACAAGACCAGCAUAAUGUUGAAUAUGUAUUUACCCAGGAGGCAAGAACUAUCCCCAGAGAAGUUAACAAAGAAUGCAAAGUCCACGACUAAGUAUUCCAAGGGAGGGCAUUCCAGACAGGGGCCGCGGCCUGGGGAAGGCAGAGGAGAGAGGGAUGAGUCACAUGCUCUAGGGAUAAUUUGUAGAGCCUGUGGAUGCUCAUUUGAAUUUAGACCUUUAUCUGUUAGUGUAUAGGCAUGUGCAACUGAAGAGUUUUGAGCAAAGGAGUGAUGUGAUGAAGUGGUGUUAGGAAGAUGAGUUUUCAGAAGGCAAUGAGUGCAGUGUUGAAAGGCUAACGCCAUAUUUAGGCAUGAGAGAAUGUCACCAGGAAUGAAAAUGGAUGGGUACAGAGAGAUAUUGUAAGGGCAGAAGGAAGUAAUAGAUUGACUACACUGGCUAACCACAUGCAGCAAGUGAUGGAAGUGUUUCUGGUGCAUCUCUGAGGUUUGAAAUCUGCAUGAUAGAAAAGUGAUGAUUCCAUUAACAAAAGUAGGGCUAUUGAGGAACAUGUUGACUUAAAGCAAUUUCCUCUGGAUGCACAACCACAACAAUUAUCCCAACCAACUUCAUAUCCUGGCAUGGCCCAGAAGAUUAUGAUCAUAAUGGCAGAAGAAAGAUUAUUUGGAGUAACUUUGCCUUCGUUUUCUGAUUAUUAGUUAAACAUUCUGUCUUUUAUCCAUAAAGAUAGUUGCUGGGCUUACAAUUGGCUUUCCAGGAAUGAUAGAUACACACAGAUUUCUGCCUUCCCUUCUACCCCUCAUUACAACUGUCACUGGUGGAGUAAAAAGAGACAUUUCCUUGCUGAGAUCAGGACAGACCAAGGCCUCUGAGGGGCUCAGACUGAAAGAGCGGCAUUGUGGAUUCUGGCCUUCUGCCUACUCCCAUCAUAUGUGCCUUUCUAAAGGAUUCAUCUAAUCCUGAUUUCAUUCUGAUUUAGAAUGCUCCACUCGGAACUGGCUGACUGAAAUCAGUUAUUCUUUUACAACUCAGUUCAACUCACAAGUAUACUUGCUUCAAUGCCUUAUAGCAGCCUUGUCCUCAGAAUAGCACAGCUUUUUGCAGCCAAGGGCAGACCUUUACACACCAUUGGCAGCUUCUUCUCAGCAGAGCUCAAGGGAGCCUGAGAGGAAGAAGCCCAGACAUGCAUGUGACAUUCUCCUUUUUGCAUCAUUUUGCUCCAUUGUCUUUUUCAGUGGUUUGACCUCAUAACACAACUGUAAGGUGUUUUUGGAAAGCUGAAAUAUGUUCAUAGCUCUUGAAGUAUAAGCAGAAGAUUUUUAACUAAAAUAAAUCCAAUAAUAAAAACAUUUUUGAAAAGAAGAUUGGUUUUAUGAAAGCCAGAUGUUUUCAUCAAAUUCCAACUGAAAUAGCUCUGUGG
ensembl:lncRNA